UGAGGAAUAUUGGUCAAUGGGAGAGAUCCUGAACCAGCCAAGCCGCGUGAGGGAAGACGCCCUAUGGGUUGUAAACCUUCUUUUGUCGGAGAACAAAACCUGGGGACGUGUCCCGGACUGCGUGUAUCCGAAGAAAAAGCAUCGGCUAACUCCGUGCC
rnacentral:rRNA from 1 species